UACAGAGGGUGGCGAGCGUUUGUUCCGGAAUUACUGGGCGUAAAGGGCGCGUAGGCGGUUCGAUAAGUAGGAGGUGAAAUCUCACGGCUCAACCGGGAGGCUGCCUUCUAGACUGUCGGACUUGAGCACGGUAGAGGCAGAUGGAAUUCCCGGUGUAGCGGUGGAAUGCGUAGAGAUCGGGAAGAACACCAGUGGCGAAGGCGGUCUGCUGGGCCGUUGCUGACGCUGAGGCGCGACAGCGUGGGGAGCAAACAGG
rnacentral:rRNA from 1 species